rnacentral:rRNA from 1 species
UUAAGUGUCGUAAGGGCAUUUGGUGGAUGCCUUGGCAUGCACAGGCGAUGAAGGACGUGAUACGCUGCGAAAAGCCGUGGGGAGCUGCGAAUGAGCUUUGAUCCAUGGAUCUCCGAAUGGGGCAACCCACCUUAAAUGCUUGGAAAAUCAUUCUGGUUGUCUGGCCUUUGGCCCGGCAACCCGAGUGGUUUCCAAGCAUUGUGAUAAGGUAUCUACACCUGAAUACAUAGGGUGUAAGAAGCGAACGCAGGGAACUGAAACAUCUAAGUACCUGCAGGAAAGGACAUCAACCGAGACUCCGCAAGUAGUGGCGAGCGAACGCGGACCAGGCCAGUGGCAAUUGUGAUUAAAGUGGAACGCUCUGGAAAGUGCGGCCGUAGUGGGUGACAGCCCCGUACGCGUAGAUAUCAUGAUUGUCCUAGAGUAGGGCGGGACACGAGAAAUCCUGUCUGAACAUGGGGAGACCACUCUCCAAGCCUAAGUACUCGUGCAUGACCGAUAGCGAACAAGUACCGUGAGGGAAAGGUGAAAAGCACCCCGACAAGGGGAGUGAAAUAGAACCUGAAACCGGAUGCCUACAAACAGUCGGAGCCCGCAAGGGUGACGGCGUACCUUUUGUAUAAUGGGUCAACGACUUAGUGUAACAAGCAAGCUUAAGCCGGUAGGUGUAGGCGAAGCGAAAGCGAGUCUGAAUAGGGCGAUUUAGUUUGUUGCAUUAGACCCGAAACCGAGUGAUCUAGCCAUGAGCAGGUUGAAGGUUGGGUAACACCAACUGGAGGACCGAACCCGCAUCUGUUGCAAUAGAUUGGGAUGACUUGUGGCUAGGGGUGAAAGGCCAAUCAAACUCGGAAAUAGCUGGUUCUCCGCGAAAUCUAUUUAGGUAGAGCGUCGAGCGAAUACCCCCGGGGGUAGAGCACUGGAUGGGCUAUGGGGACUCACCGUCUUACUGAUCCUAACCAAACUCCGAAUACCGGGGAGUACUACUCGGCAGACACACGGCGGGUGCUAACGUCCGUCGUGAAAAGGGCAACAACCCUAACCUCCAGCUAAGGUCCCCAAGUCAUGGCUAAGUGGGAAAGGAUGUGAGGAUCCCAAAACAACCAGGAUGUUGGCUUAGAAGCAGCCAUCAUUUAAAGAAAGCGUAACAGCUCACUGGUCUAAAUAAGGGUCUUUGCGCCGAAAAUGUAACGGGGCUGAAGCCAUGCACCGAAGCUGAGGAUUUGCGAGCAAUCGCAAGUGGUAGCGGAGCGUUCCGUAAGCUGAUGAAGGGAGACCCGUGAGGGCUCCUGGAGGUAUCGGAAGUGCGAAUGUUGACAUGAGUAACGAUAAAGAGGGUGAGAGACCCUCUCGCCGAAAGACCAAGGGUUCCUGCUUAAAGUUAAUCUGAGCAGGGUUAGCCGGCCCCUAAGGCGAGGCAGAAAUGCGUAGUCGAUGGGAACCACGUUAAUAUUCGUGGGCCUGGUGGUAGUGACGGAUUGCACAAGUUGUUCAUUCUAAUUGGAUUGGAUGGGCAGCGGAGCGGUUCCAGGAAAUAGCUCCACCGUAUAGACCGUACCCGAAACCGACACAGGUGGUCAGGUAGAGUAUACCAAGGCGCUUGAGAGAACUAUGUUGAAGGAACUCGGCAAAUUGCACGCGUAACUUCGGAAGAAGCGUGACCCCAUGCUAGGCAACUAUUAUGGGGUGGCACAGACCAGGGGGUAGCGACUGUUUAUCAAAAACACAGGGCUCUGCGAAGUCGCAAGACGACGUAUAGGGUCUGACGCCUGCCCGGUGCUGGAAGGUUAAGAGGAGAGGUGCAAGCUUUGAAUCGAAGCCCCAGUAAACGGCGGCCGUAACUAUAACGGUCCUAAGGUAGCGAAAUUCCUUGUCGGGUAAGUUCCGACCUGCACGAAUGGCGUAACGACUUCCCC